rnacentral:miRNA from 1 species
GUUGGCCAAAAACGUCAUUCAGAUUUCGCCAUUCAGCUUAUGGAAAAGCCUGAACGAACUUUUUGGCCAACCCA